rnacentral:lncRNA from 1 species
CUUCAUGCUACAAGGGAUGCCAAAUGAUUGGUGGGAAUUGGAGGAAGGAAAUCUUGGCUUGAUGAUCCACCCAUUAUGUGGGAAGGAUUCAAGAAGGCUUUCGAUGAGAAGCAUUCCAUUUAGAGUGCCUGCAACUAGAAAUUUUGAGAGUUUGGCUAAUGGACCAAGGUGGUAUGAUAGUCUCUCAAUAUGUAGGAAGGUUUGAAGAAAUGUUAUAAUUUGCUUCAAUAUUGGCAACGAUAUAGAGUGACUAGGCU